rnacentral:rRNA from 1 species
CCUGGUUGAUCUUGCCAGUAGUCAUAUGCUUGUCUCACAGAUUAAGCCAUGCAAGUGAAAGUACAUAUGUAAGUAAUAUAUUGAAACUGCGAACGGCUCAUUAAAACAGUUAUAAUCUACUUGAUGUUUUUAAUAUAAGGAUAACUACGGAAAAUCUGUAGCUAAUACUUGUGAAAAUACCUUUUGAUAUAUACAUAUGUAUGUAUCAUUAAGGUAUGUAUUUGUUAGAUAUAAGAAUAAAAUAAAUAUAAUUGAAUUAUAACAAAGAAGAAACACAUAAAAUAUGUGUAUUAUCAAUCGAGUAUCUGACCUAUCAGCUUUUGAUGUUAGGGUAUUGACCUAACAUGGCUAUGACGGGUAACGGGGAAUUAGAGUUCGAUUCCGGAGAGGGAGCCUGAGAAAUAGCUACCACAUCUAAGGAAGGCAGCAGGCGCGUAAAUUACCCAAUUCUAAAAAAGAGAGGUAGUGACAAGAAAUAACAAUACAAUAUCGAAAAAUGAUUUUGUAAUUGGAAUGAUAGGAAUUUACAAGGUUCCUAGAGAAACAAUUGGAGGGCAAGUCUGGUGCCAGCAGCCGCGGUAAUUCCAGCUCCAAUAGCAUAUAUUAAAAUUGUUGCAGUUAAAACGUUCGUAGUUGAAUAUUAAAGAAUCCGAUGUUUCAUUUAAACUGGUUUGGGAAAACCAAAUAUAUUAUAUAUUUUGCUUUGUUCAAAAUAAGGUUUUCUAAUAAAUUAUGUUUUUAUCAGAUAUGACAGAAUCUUUUUUAAAAUCUCUUCAAUAUGCUUUUAUUGCUUUUGAGAGGUUUUGUUACUUUGAGUAAAAUUAAGUGUUCAUAACAGACGGGUAGUCAUGAUUGAGUUCAUUGUGUUUGAAUACUACAGCAUGGAAUAACAAAUAUGAAUAAGCUAAUUAUUUUUUUUUUUUCAUAAUUUUUUUUGAUAUUCUUAUUAGCUUAGUUACGAUUAAUAGGAGUAGCUUUGGGGGCAUUCGUAUUCAGAUGUCAGAGGUGAAAUUCUAAGAUUUUCUGGAGACGGACUACUGCGAAAGCAUUUGCCUAAUCUAUUUCCAUUAAUCAAGAACGAAAGUUAAGGGAGUGAAGACGAUCAGAUACCGUCGUAAUCUUAACCAUAAACUAUACCGACUAGGUGUUGGAUGAAUAUAAAAAAUAUAUAAAUAUGUAGCAUUUCUUAGGGAAUGUUGAUUUUAUAUUAGAAUUGCUUCCUUCAGUACCUUAUGAGAAAUCAAAGUCUUUGGGUUCUGGGGCGAGUAUUCGCGCAAGCGAGAAAGUUAAAAGAAUUGACGGAAGGGCACCACCAGGCGUGGAGCUUGCGGCUUAAUUUGACUCAACACGGGAAAACUCACUAGUUUAAGACAAGAGUAGGAUUGACAGAUUAAUAGCUCUUUCUUGAUUUCUUGGAUGGUGAUGCAUGGCCGUUUUUAGUUCGUGAAUAUGAUUUGUCUGGUUAAUUCCGAUAACGAACGAGAUCUUAACCUGCUAAUUAGCGGUAAGUACACUAUAUUUUUAUUUGAAAUUGAAUAUAGGUAAUUAUACAUGUUUAUUCAGUGUUCAAAUUAGGAUAUUUUUUUAUUAAAAUAUUCUUUUCCCUGUUCUACUAUAAUAAUUUGUUUUUUUUUACUCUAUUUCUCUCUUCUUUUAAGAAUGUACUUGUUUGAUUAAAUAAAGCUUCUUAGAGGAACAGUGUGUAUCUAACACAAGGAAGUUUAAGGCAACAACAGGUCUGUGAUGUCCUUAGAUAAACUAGGCUGCACGCGUGCUACAAUGAUAUAUAUAACAAGUUGUUAAAAAUGUACUUAUAAAUAAGUGUGUACAGUUUUUCCUGUACUGAAAAGUAUAGGUAAUCUUUAUCAGUAUAUAUCGUAAUUGGGAUAGAUUAUUGCAAUUAUUAAUCUUGAACGAGGAAUGCCUAGUAAGCAUGAUUCAUUAGAUUGUGCUGACUACGUCCCUGCCCUUUGUACACACCGCCCGUCGCUCCUACCGAUUGAAAGAUAUGAUGAAUUGUUUGGAUAUGAAUUAAAAUAAUGAAAUUUUAUAUUUCUGAUUUUUUCUAGAAGAACUGUAAAUCCUAUCUUUUAAAGGAAGGAGAAGUCGUAACAAGGUUUCCGUAGGUGAACCUGCGGAAG